rnacentral:lncRNA from 1 species
UGAGAGACAUAAUGUACACUUUUUUUGUUAAACUGCUGUUAAAAUUUCGGGACUAGUAAGUUUUUUUUUUUUUGUAUUUUUAUUAAGAAAUUAUCAAAAAUGACAGUAAAGACAUUUACAUUGUUACAAAAAUACUAUUUAUCAUUUCUAUUUCUUUUAAACUCUUUUUGUUCAAAGUUUCUUUAAACUGUAAUAAUAUUUGACAAUAUUACUGUUUUACUGUAGUUUAGAUCAAAUACAAACAAAGCCUUGGUGAGCAUAAGAGACUUCUUUGAAAGACGUGAAAAUCUUACAAGCCACAAGCAACCACAACAGUAGUUUAUAUCAAAUUCAAUUUUCAAUUUUCAAAUUCAAUUUUAUCCCUUUCAUUCAAUUUGAUUGAGGAAGUUCAAAGCCUCACCUUCCCUUAUCACUUUCAAAAGUAGUUGCAAAUAGUCCUUUUUGAUUAUACAGCAAGGGCAAAUAAAUAUCGCUUUGUAACUUUUUUUUAAGAGAGAGAGAGAGUUUGAAAAUUUCUCUGCUAGUGCAAGACAUGCUAAUAAAAAAUAAAGUGACAGGCAUUUAUGUAGUUAAUAUAGCUGAAAAGGAAUCUGUUAUUAUUAUUUUUUUUUCUCAAGAGAUUAAAUGGACAGCACAGAUGAAAGUGGCAAAUACCUACCUGUUAACAAAAAAACUUCCCACCAUUUCAGAAUUAAAGACAUAACUUUCUAAGGAUCAUUUUGUAGUGAAGUGUUGAUUUAUGCUAUCGACACCUUUGACAGGGUGAUCUUCCAGAUGUCUUGCUGACUAAAAAUGCACCGCAUGAUGGAGAUGUUUGAUUUUGAUGUCUUUGAGAGUCACGACAGUGCCGUUGUGGACGAGGUACUGAACGAUGGUGGCGCGCUGGUGUCGAAAAGCCUCGGAAGUCCAAAAGAACCCCAGUCCACACUCCGAGAGGACGUCAAGCAAGUGGUGAUCCAAGAACAGUCCACCAAAAUGGAGAUGACCAAAGUUUCCAAUUCUGCCAAAAUGCUCUCCGAUCCCCCCUCGGCUCCACAAGCAUCUCUUCCAGUUGAAAACAGAAAUUCUGUUUCAUCUCAGGCAUCAAGAGCAGCCAUUGACUUUAUCAUUUCAAGCCCACGAACGGCCACAGAAACGGGUGACGCUGUGAGCCCUGAGACCCAGGCACCUUUGAUCGAUGCCUGUCCCAACGAUGUUCUCUACAUAUCAGAUCUCAUCACCUUCUCCUCCCGAUUCUGCGGCUCUAGACGGCCUUCUAGCAGCCAGUUAGUGUUUGGAUCUGAUGAUGACAUGGUUGAGGUCAUUAUGGAGUUGAUUACCACUACCCACUGGGGCCGUGGUUUCGCUCUCCUUUUCCAUUAUCAGAAUCAAACUCAGACCGCCACAAGCGAACAUCAGAGAUCACUAUUGACCUCCGACAGCAGAACUGGUGUUGUACUGCUCGGUGCUGUAAGUGGGACAGUUGUAUUUGCUGUGGCCCUUGCUGGCAUCCUCUGUGUGAUUUUCAGGCCGAAACUGUGCGCAAAAGGAGCCAAUGCUUCCUCUUCCAUCAGCUCAGAGGUAAACAGUCAUCAUAUGAUCUUCUUACAGAUGGACCCCACCUUUAUGAGAGAUGAGGAGGAGUUUGUACUGUUUCCAGGGUCCCAAAUGUUUCCCCACACUUGGCAAUGUCGAGUGAAUUGAUUAAAUGUACCAUCCAUAAUUAAUGCAUAUUGGGCAUGAAACUGAAAUAAUUAAAAUGUAUUUUGUAUACAGAAUAUUGCAUAUGAAUUCUUUUAAGCGUUAUUGUUUAAAUUCUAAAAAUUAUUCCUUGCAUAUUUAAGUGUGUGUGUGUGUGUGUGUGUGUGUGUGUGUGUGUGUGUGUGUGUGUGUGUGUGUGUGUGUGUGUGUGUGUGUGUGUGUGUUGUUGUGUGCGCAUAUGGCUUUUUUUCUGGUGACUGAAGAGGCUGAAUGGCUAUUAAUAGCAUCUGUGGAUUC